AGAAUAUUACGACGAUUUUCGCGUAUUCCGGACCGAGGAGAUUGUAGUAAUAAUACUUCCCGCGGCCAGCAAAGUACGGACCGCGACCGCGACUCUACGGAAUAAUCAUCGUCACGAAAAAUGCGUAGGAUGCAGUUUAUUAAAUUAUAAGACAUUUUUUAAAAUUUUUUUUUUUUUUACGGCAUAUUGCCAGUAAUUGUACAGACGUGCAUACAACACACCUUCUGAAACGAUAAUUCAUUCUAGAAGAACAAACCCAACGGACUAGUUAAUAAUAAUUUCGAGUAUUA